rnacentral:rRNA from 1 species
AUACGAAGGGUGCAAGCGUUAAUCGGAAUUACUGGGCGUAAAGCGCGCGUAGGUGGUUUGUUAAGUUGGAUGUGAAAGCCCCGGGCUCAACCUGGGAACUGCAUCCAAAACUGGCGAGCUAGAGUAUAGCAGAGGGUGGUGGAAUUUCCUGUGUAGCGGUGAAAUGCGUAGAUAUAGGAAGGAACACCAGUGGGGAAGGCGACCCCUGGGGAUAAUCCUGACACUGAGGGGGGAAAGCGUGGGGAGCAAACAGGAUUAGAUACCCUGGUAGUCCACGCCGUAAACGAUGUCGACUAGCCGUUGGGAUCCUUGAGAUCUUAGUGGCGCAGCUAACGCAUUAAGUCGACCGCCUGGGGAGUACGGCCGCAAGGUUAAAACUCAAAUGAAUUGACGGGG